UUGAUUGCUAGGCUUGAUCUUCCUUUAGGCAUAGGUGAGACUCAGGCAUGGGAAGAAUACAUUAAGCGUGCUCAUAAUCCUCUAUUUGAAAAGGUAUCUAGGCAGACCACCACUAGAGAUAUGACUAAAUUGUUUGGUGAACAACGUGAUAUGCUUAUGAAAACUGUCUUGCCUGCUACAUCUUCUGUUUCCUUGACAUCUGAUAUCUGGUCUGGUAAUGCUAAGGAGGAUUACAUAUCUGUUGUUUCUCAUUAUGUUAGUGCAGAUUGGGAGUUACAGAAAAAAGUAGUUGGUUUAAGAUUGAUUGAAGUGUCCCAUUCUGGUGAAAACAUUGCUGAUAGGAUUGCUAGUGUUGUUGAAGAGUUUGGUCUGAUUGACAAAGUGUUUUCUGUAUCUCUAGACAAUGCUUCUGCAAAUUCUAGGGCUCAUGAGAUAUUGCAACCUAUGUUAUUUGGUUAUUUGGGCUCUUAUCCUGCACCUACAAAAGAUGACCCUGCAAAGGUCAAAUAUUUGCUUGUGCAUCAGCGUUGUGCAUGCCAUAUCAUUAAUCUAAUUGUUAAAUCUGGCUUAAAAAGGUUGAAACCCUAUACUGAAGACUUUAGAACUGCAAUAAAUUUUUUAAACUCU
rnacentral:lncRNA from 1 species